rnacentral:rRNA from 1 species
CCUACGGGUGGCAGCAGUGAGGAAUAUUGGUCAAUGGACGCAAGUCUGAACCAGCCAAGUAGCGUGCAGGAUGACGGCCCUCCGUGUUGUAAACUGCUUUUAGUUGGGAGUAAAAGGGGGCUCGUUAGCCCCGUAUUGUAUGUACCAUCAGAGAAAGGACCGGCUAAUUCCGUGCCAGCAGCCGCGGUAAUACGGAAGGUUCGGGCGUUAUCCGGAUUUAUUGGGGGUAAAGAGUUCGUAGGUGGCACGUUAGGUCUGGUGUUAAAGCGGAAAGCUCAACUUCCGUAGGGCACUGGAAACUGGCGAGCUUGAAUGCGGGAGAGGUAAAGGGAAUUCCUGGUGUAGCGGUGAAAUGCGUAGAUAUCAGGAGGAACAUCGGUGGCGUAAGCGCUUUACUGGGCCGUAAUUGACACUGAGGAACGAAAGCCGGGGUAGCAAAUGGGAUUAGAUACCCGUGUAGUC